GUCAGGAUGGCCGAGCGUUAUAAGACGCUGAGUUCAGAACGCAGUCCACUUCUGUGGGCGUAAGUUCAAAUACCACUUCUGACA